rnacentral:rRNA from 1 species
UGGCGGACGGGUGAGAAAUGUCUGGGAAACUGCCCGAUGGAGGGGGAUAACUACUGGAAACGGUAGCUAAUACCGCAUAACGUCGCAAGACCAAAGAGGGGGACCUUCGGGCCUCAUGCCAUCGGAUGUGCCCAGAUGGGAUUAGCUAGUAGGUGGGGUAACGGCUCACCUAGGCGACGAUCCCUAGCUGGUCUGAGAGGGUGACCAGCCACACUGGAACUGAGACACGGUCCAGACUCCUACGGGAGGCAGCAGUGGGGAAUAUUGCACAAUGGGCGCAAGCCUGAUGCAGCCAUGCCGCGUGUAUGAAGAAGGCCUUCGGGUUGUAAAGUACUUUCAGCGAGGAGGAAGGUGUUGUGGUUAAUAACCGCAGCAAUUGACGUUACUCGCAGAAGAAGCACCGGCUAACUCCGUGCCAGCAGCCGCGGUAAU